rnacentral:rRNA from 1 species
UACGUAGGCAGCAAGCGUUGUUCGGAAUUACUGGGCGUAAAGAGUGUGUAGGCGGUUUUCUAAGUUCGGUGUGAAAUCUCCUGGCUCAACUGGGAGGGUGCGCCGGAAACUGGAGUGCUUGAGCGUGGGAGAGGAAAGCGGAAUUCCUGGUGUAGCGGUGAAAUGCGUAGAUAUCAGGAGGAACACCUGUGGUGUAGACGGCUUUCUGGACCAUAGCUGACGCUGAGACACGAAAGCGUGGGUAGCAAACAGG